GGGGAAUUUUGGACAAUGGGGGCAACCCUGAUCCAGCCAUGCCGCGUGAGUGAAGAAGGCCUUCGGGUUGUAAAGCUCUUUCGGCCGGGAAGAAAUCGCGCCUUCUAAUACGGGGUGUGGAUGACGGUACCGGAAGAAGAAGCACCGGCUAACUACGUGCCAGCAGCCGCGGUAAUACGUAGGGUGCGAGCGUUAAUCGGAAUUACUGGGCGUAAAGGGUGCGCAGGCGGCGCCAUAAGACAGCUGUGAAAUCCCCGGGCUUAACCUGGGAACUGCGGUUGUGACUGUGGUGCUUGAGUGCGGCAGAGGGGGGUGGAAUUCCACGUGUAGCAGUGAAAUGCGUAGAGAUGUGGAGGAACACCGAUGGCGAAGGCAGCCCCCUGGGUCGACACUGACGCUCAUGCACGAAAGCGUGGGGAGCAAAC
rnacentral:rRNA from 1 species